rnacentral:misc_RNA from 1 species
CUGAGUGAGGGCGCAAGCCCGACCUCCAACCCUUUGUGAACCAACUCUGUUGCUUCGGGGGCGACCCCGCCGUUUCGGCGACGGCGCCCCCGGAGGUAUUCAAACACUGCAUCUUUGCGUCGGAGUCUUAAAGUAAAUUUAAACA